rnacentral:lncRNA from 1 species
AUUACAGAGUAUUCCAAAGAAGGUCAACUUCUAUGGAACGGAAGUCUCAUAUUCAAAGUACAUUGCUUUGAACAUCCUUCUUGCAUUAAGGUUUUCUAAUCUUACAUAGAUUGAAUAACUUCCACCUAUGGAGACAUUUCCAUAGUCCCAUUUUGACUAUCACUUCCGAACAAGAGUUACUUCUUUUCAGAAUAUGUCAAUAUGGUCCUUUCCGACAACUUACAUCAUACUUCCAACUUUCCCUGAGCAACCAAUCUUUGGCGAACCUCAAAUUGUCCUCGACAAUUGCUUAAUCACUUUAGUCAUAUCCAGUUCUAGACUUUUCCCUUCUCAAUGCCUUAAGCAUUUGGAAAAUUUAGAAAAGAUGAAUAUUAUAGCACAUGCAAUCGAUCCUAUAUCCGAAGCAUAUGGGACACGAUUCAUGAUGUUUGACAUAAAGACAUGAUACUAGACCAGUCUUUUGCUACAAUAUUUUUUAUUUGCCAUGUUUUCAAAAUUUAACUAUGAAGAGGGAUGCCGUAGUCAUAAUUGAAUUUUGAGAACACAAUAUAUAUAGAAUUUCCUUAAGUCGAACCAUUCAGACAUAAAAUUCAUAUAUAUGUCCUUGACUAAAGAUGAUUAAAAUCUCAAUCUAAGCUUCUAGAAUUGAAAUGAAGUAUAAUUUCCUCUCCCUUAAUUAUAGCAAAACGACUUUUUCAACCCCUGCAACUUCAUGAAUUGAAACUUUUGUUUUUCUAUAAUUAACAUUGCUAGCUUGCAAUACUAAUCAUAAUUAUCAUGCUCCCACUAACAUGAUGAUUAUUAGCAAAACACUUAUGCUCCCACUAGCUCUGACAUAUUUCCAGAAAUCUGCUGGACUUCUGAAAUUUAGAUUCAUACACCCUUUCUUAGAUAGCUCACAUGUGUGUCUAAGCAAUUUCAAGAACUAUGAAAAGGGAUGCCGUAAUCAUAGUCUCAAUUUCUUAGACCUUUGCCAUUUCUCACAAGUCCAUGUUAGUGUGCCGGUUAACCACACACGCUCCACUAACGACUUUUGAAAAUGCAAAUAACACAAUUGAUAUCUACGUAAAAUCUACUUAGUGAAAGCGUUUCCUCACCAUCAUUUUCAUGAAUCGGAGAGAAACCUUAUGACACUUAGAUUUUAUAGUGUAUGAGUUCCUAUCCAUGUGAACUUGUCAAAACCAUAAUCACAAGAUAAGGUUAGUGACAAAUUCAGCCUUACAUGGAUUAAACUUGUUCAAUCUUAGUUUCUUGUCACCUUGGUAGCACAAGGCCCACCAAUGCUUCCAAGUUGAACUCUGAUAACUCACGUGCAAAUUAAACUUUUUGUUAUUUAAUUAUUUUCUAACUAAAAAAAUAUUAAAAAUAAAAGAAAAUCUCUCUCUCUCUCUCUCUCUCUCUCUCUCUCUCUCUCUCUCUUUCUCCCUCCCUCCCUCCCUCUCUCUCUCUCUAUCCUGUUCAUCACCCUAUACCACCCACACAAACACCACCGUCCAACACCACCUUCAAUCACCCAAGACCUCCCUUACUCCUCAAUUAUCACCAUUCCUAACAGUUGCAAAUGUUAAAAAAAAUAGAAAGAAAAUAAGGAGCUACAAUCGAUUCAGAAAGGAGAAAAAAGAGAACUGUAAUCGAGUUUAGAAGAAAGAGAAGGAGGGUGUGACUUUAGGUGACUGUGUUUGUCGAUUGGAUUUUGAGAAGUGAAAGGGGGUUCCGAUUUCUAGUGUGAAACCCUUGUCAUCGAUCUAACCUUGUUGGUGUUUCAAGGUUUGGUUUUUUCGAUCUAACCCUUGCUGGAGCUUCCUGUUAAAGCAAGCCCUAGCACCAACCAAAAUCGAAACUUGAACAGAAGGAUUAAGGCUUGAAUCUAAUAAGAUACCUUGUAUUGUUGAGGAAUCGACUUUGCUUAAGCAUGAAUUAAAGGAAAUUGGGGGUAAACGAGGCUUGAUAUGUCCGAUUAGGAGUUAAAUUGGGUUGCAAACUGAUCUUGGAAGAAGCUAAGUUGAAAAUUGAUCUUGCCCCUACAGCAGAUUCAUAACCAUCAUUGGUAUCAGAGGUGGCACCUACAGAACCUGUUCCAUAAUCAAACUUUGAGAUCUGGGUUAAAUACACACACUGAAAAGGAACUCCGGAUCACAUUCAAAGAAGAUGAAAAUGGUGUGUUCUGAACAGAAAAGAAAAAUGGUUACUGAGAUCGAUGGAGGAAUAAGGAAGAACGAAUGGAAGCAGCUUGAGGGUCGAAAAGAGAUGAAUACAAAAGGGAAAAUGGUGGAUGUCGUCGGUUCUUUUUCUCCGCUGAACAGUGCCGACGGUCCUGUUUGCGAUCGAGCGGAGGCUUGCUUCAGCUGGCCAUGGCGGCGAUUUGGUGGUUAUUGGGUCGGUCUGCCAUUAAAAUGGAAGGAAGACGAGAGGUUGGGUUGAAGAAGGCAACAAAUUCGAUGGUUGCUAGGUUUUUUUUGGUGAUUAGGGGGGAGGGAGAGAGAGAGAGAGUUUCUUUUAUUUUUUAUAUUUUUAGUUAGAAAAUAAUUAAAUAACAAAAAGAAAAGAAAAAACAAAUGGAAAAGGGCAAAUUCGUCAUUUUUAAAAAUUUUAAACUGUUUUGGACCAAAAUCGCAGCAAAAUGAAAACUUUUGGACUAUUUUCGCUAGUCCAAACCUGUUUGGCCCAAAGUAGCAUUUUUGGACAUACCACAGGGACCAUUCUUGCAAUUUUGUCGCGGAAAAACUUAUCCUUACAAUCCACAUGAAAACCUUGUUGUUAUCUAUUCAUAAGCAAUAUAUUAUAACUCUUAAGCAACAGCUCAAAAUUCUGAUUGCCGAACCAUGCGAUCGAAACCCACCUUUGCAAUCAGAAUCAACAUAUACUUACUUUAAGCUUCCUAUCUUUUCUUUGAUUCUUAAAAACAUCAGCAUGUGACCCAUUCACAUUAUGUAAUAAGAAUCUCCAAAUAGGAACUUAAUAGAGUUAGUAGUUGGACUUUACCCGAAGUAGAGUCAAACCUCUUGACUUGAUCAACCUUAUGACCUUUCAGGUGAAUAGGGCAGCUUCGCAACCAAUGCCCCUUCCUUUGGCAACAAAACACAUGGACCCUUUGGUAAUGGCACAUGAGACUAUCUCAGAAUUUGCCUUUCUCUUUACUAUUUGGUCAACCGAGUUGACUAUAGCCGAUCCCUUUCCAUUGGGAAGAGAAAUCCUUUUCUAGAUAUCCAAUGCUACCAUUGUCAAUGUCCAUUUAAGACUUGGGAAGUUGUUCUUUUAAUCAAAUUUGCUUUACUGGUGUUCCAAAUCAUUGCUGAUUCCACAACACCAAGCAAAUAGAUAACAUCAUUAAGGGUCAUGUCAUAGUCUGUCUCAUAGUAGUCCCAAAGAGACUCACUAUGUUACUAAGAAAGUGAUUGAACAUCCAACUUUCACGAGACUUUGACACCCAACUCUCCCGGCUUGUCAAUAUGUGACUUUAUCUCCAAGAUGUGAGCACACAUAGACUAUGCUUGCCAAUAGGGAUUGAGUGACUUUAAACUUUUCAAGAACUUGUGGGUGAGGGAGAAUAAUUGGAGGAGGUGGAGGAAGUGAAGCAUGAUGUUGAGGGACACCAUCUUCAAGAGAUUUGGGAAGAUCAUAGUUGUCUGAACCAGACAUCUAUAAUGGGAGAAAAUCAAGUUAGUUGAUUCAAAGUCCUUAAUAUAACACCCAAUAUGAAAUAUUAAGGCUAGGACCCAACACAAUAUUUUAUAAUUUGGAAGAGGGAUGCCGUAAUCCAAGCUAUAAAAUAUUUGAAGGUAGGCGAAUGACGAUUCACCAAUUUCCACCAUGAAAAACGAAAUAAUUUAUUAGGUUUUAAUUGGAUUUGAAAUUCCUAGAUCUUUUGAGAUUCAUUGAACUUUUCAAUGGCAUGUUUCAAUCUCGAGUGUGCCCUCUCAAAUUUUGUGACUGGGAUGCCGAGGAUCACAAAACAAGGUGUGAAUAACCAUACCAAUUCACUUGGUACCCUUAAUAUUAUCACCUAAUCAAUGUGCCGGUUAACCACACACGCUCCAUUGAUCUAUGACAAACAUUAAGUCACCCUUCGUGAUCCUUACUAGUCCAAGUUAGUGUGCCGGUUAACCACACACGCUCCACCAACGACUUGGUAAGGUACAAAGUGUGAAUUCCAUGGGCUAGCACCAAAUUCACAUUUUUCCUAAAGUAACUAAGAUUGGGAAUUAAAUAAAAAAUUUUUAGUUACUUUAUAAUAAUCAUUAUACUUUUAAUGAGAAUUUAAAGUCAUUGUCCUACCCGUUCGGCUAACGACCCUCCACCGAUCAAGCAAGCGGUGGGUGAGAGUGGACACCCAUUAAGUCGCCAUUUUAUAGGCAACAACCUUAUACCCACCUUAUAGACCGGCUUCGUGAAUGAGGCCUACUAACGGUAAAACGACUUGUUCUUAUACAUAUAUAUAAUAAUUAACCAUUAAUGUUAUAAAUAGUAUAAGUGUUGAAUUUUAACUUUUAAAACUCUAAGUGUUGGAAUUAAAGUUUAUUAAAGUGUGUGAAACUUUUCAAAUUCCAAAACUUGAGGGCAAGUUUUGUAACUAUCCAAAACUUUUCAUUUCAUAACUUAUGAAUUAAAGGUUCAUAAAAAUGAAGACUCUUCAUUUUCAUGUAACUUAUGUGUUUAAAUGUGUGUGUUAAAGAAAAGUGACCUUUGGAUAUCCAUAACUUGAGGACAAAUUAUGGACUCCAUUAAAACACAUAAAUGAUCAAGAAUUAAUUCUAAACAAUUCAGCAAAUAAUUCCUAUCAUCUUCUAAAUUCAUAAGAACAUGAACAUGAUCAUCAAAAUUUCAAGAAUUAUAUGAACACAUAAAAAUCAUGGAAUUUUGAUAUAUGCUAUUGUAAAUGGAUUAGAACAACCAUUACACCAACUAAAACAAGUUUUAAAACACCAAAACAGUUUAGGGUAAUGUUUCUAGUCCAUUUCCAGCAGCAAAAGUCGAAAUUCUGCAUUCUGAUCAUUCUACUCGCCGAGUGCACGAACCUACUCGCCGAGUAGGAUGAAUUUUGCCUUGAACUCGGCGAGUCCCCCCAUGGACUCGGCGAGUCCAUCAGCCAGACAGCAACAAUUUCAACUUUUUUCACUAUUUUGCAUCAAGUAUCAAACAAGCAAGCCUAGGCUCUGAUACCACUGUUGGGUUUUGAGCAAUCUAACACUUCCUAAGUGUGCAUGCAACCCUAAUAAACCUUGGAUCUAUGUUUUCUUCUAAAAUACAUGCAAAUAAUAACUUCCAAGGUUUCUUCCUAACUAGCAUAGCAUAAGGAUUAUGAAUCAUAAAAGUACUAGUAGAAAUACAUACCUUUUGAUGAUGGUUGAUUGUUUGGAGUUUGAGAGCCAAGCACCAAUAGUGUGAAUGCCUCAAAUGGAAUCACAAAUCACCACAAACACUUGGAAAACUUUGAGAGAGUAGUAUACUUUCUUGUGGAAUCGGCCACCACUAAGUCUCACACUCCUAGUGUCACAUUUCUUGCAUCAUAUGCUUCUUUAUAUAGUGUGCAUGGUUAGGGUCAAACCCUAAUAACCCAUGUCUUUUCCUUUCCAAGGAUCCAUGGGUUAAAAGCUCCAUGGAUCAUCCAUGGACUUUUAUAUUAGCUUAGCCCAUUAAUAAAUGAGUAUUAGCCCACACUAUAUAAAAUACAAUAGCCCAUAAUUUAAUCAGUCUUCUUUUUAAUCUCUAAAUUAAUUCAUAAUUAAUUUAAGACUAAAACUAAUUAAAUAACAUGACUUCAUAUUAAUAUAUUAUAACUUAUAAUAUAUUAUAAAUCGUAAGUAUACAAUUCUCAUAAAAUUAUCCAUAAAUCGUUUGGGUGAAGUGCAACCCAAAUGGACCAUGCCGGGUCGGGUCAAGUAUGUACCAAAUAAGUUAUGGACUUAGACACCUUAUCCAACACAUUCAUCUACUGAAAUCACAUAAGGUGAGUUCAUACCCCCAUCUUUUCAUGUUUUCCUAAGUUUUAAGGGGGAGAAUACAAGUUAAAACACCAAGAAGACAAAUAAAUUCUUCUAAUAGCUUUCAUCAGAAAAGUUGGACUCCAUUCACGCACUGUUUUGGGCAACUUAAACAUUUUGGUUUUCAAAACUGUUCUAGGUGCAAAUAUUUCAAGUUCUUAGAUUUAAAAUGACUACUUGCACAGCUCCAUACAAUUUUUCUACAAUUUAUGGUGAUUUUUACAAAACUGCCUAUCAUUUCAAGAACAAACCUGGACCAGUCUGUGAUUAUGGACUUUUGCACACGAGUUAGAGGUCACUAAAAAUCAUGGAAAAAAUUCUGAAAAAAACUAGACUCAUUUUCCAAACUCUCAAAAUUUACGGAUUUUGAUUUAGACCUUUGAUGACUUUUCUAUAAAAUUUCUAAGAACAGUAACGAAAAUGUUAUCAACAGAAAAAUGCUAUAAAUUUCAUUUCACCUUGUAACAUGUUGAGCAAGGUGUACCUUUAUGUGAUUAUAUGUUAUUGCUAUAUAUGACAUUUUGUCUUAGUAUAUAGACAUACAUUAGUUAACAAACAGAUUUUUGCUAGAUAAAGCAUAGAAAUAACAAUUUGUUAUAAUCAAAGUACAUCCAUUACAUACCAACAUUGGAUAAACUACUACCCUUGUUUUGAUAAACUAUAAUAGGUAUAGUCAAUGAUACAUACAUUUCAAAGGGGUACAUUUAUACAAAAGGGAAUUUUCAUUACGUUACAUGUAAAUUCGUUAAUGACUUUGUGAGACAUUCACUUCACAUUACCAAUAAGUCAUGUAUUGUAACCAGAGUCUCCUGGAGGGAGAGCGUGAUAGUUGUAUAUAGAUCUAUAUUGGGUUUGACAAACCCACACCUGAGUUGCAUGCAACAGCUAGACCGGUAGGUCUGAGGUGACAAAUGUCAUAGCAUUUCCGACGACUGAAGAACGUCGUUUCAGGCCAACUAGGUCAUAGUAUGGUUAUAAUAACUCACGUUAAGUAUUAACAAAUAUAGAAUUUAUGGGUAUUUCAUUGAAAUCAAAUGAGUUUACGUCUAGUUAAACUUGCAUUGUUUUACUUUAAGUAUGACAAAUCACAUAUACGUUUCGGUCUUGGGAUAUAAGACUACAUUACAUUUUUUUUUUAGGAAAAUAUCAGAUUUUUCUGGAACAAACAUUAUAUUUACAAGACAAGGUUUUCAUGAUUGCAUACAAAAGCUUAUGAACUCACCAACCUUUGUGUUGAAACUUUUUCAAACAACUUGUAUUCUCAGGAAAUCACUAAACAGGAAAUCAAGUGCAUUUUGAGGAUGGGACGUUAAGGCGUCAAACAUUUCAUAUUUUGUCAACAUAUUGUAAUUGAUUUGGAAACAUGUAAUUCAUACAAUGAUGUAACUCUUUAAAUUAUAUAUAUAUGUUGGUUGUGUUUACUUCCAUCACUAUUGCCAUUGUUGUUAUGAUACUAUACAUGAAGUCCUCCAGCCCCGGACGUUUCCGCCAUCCUUGCUUUGGGGGUGUGACACGAAGUCAGAUUUGGACAUUCUUUUUAUGCACGCUCACUUUUUAACGAACUCUAUGACUUUUGUUUAGAUCGCUAAGGAUAAAUAUUUCUCUAACAUAAAUUCACUUUUUACGUCAUUCGGCAUCGUGCCGGUUCUGUCGCAAAACUUCGACAUGACAUAACUUCUUCGUUAUAACUCGGAUUUCAGCGUUCUUUAUAUGUACGGAACCCUUGUAACAUAUAAUACAACUUAGUUAAGAUUAUUUCUUCAAAAUAAUCUUCCAUAAAAAAGACAUUUUUGACACUUAUUGUACUUAAGUUGUCUAGCCCUGAUCUACGGGCGUUACAAAAUGGCUAAAAGGGUUGAAGGAAAAAUGGAGAAAGCAAUACAGAUGAAAAAACAUUGGAUAUUGAAUAAGGAAAAUUAGUUGUAUGAUGUUUGAUUUAAGUUUCUUUCUUAGACUACUAUGUUCGUUGGGUUUAACUUUGAUGAAUGUUGUGAACUAAAGUCGGUUGUUAAACUAAUAUGUUUGUUGUCAUUUGCAUGUAUGAAUGUAAUGGACAUGCAUGGUUUUAUGAAGCAUAUAUUAUCUUAUUGUAUUUUAAUGUGGUCCCAUUACUAGUAUAAUUAUUGUGUGUUGUAUAUUAUUAUAUGUGUAUGUGGGUGAAAUUAUUUUACAUUGCAUGUGUAUGUUGGAUCUAUUUUAUGUACACUAAUAUCACAAAUAAAAAUGAUUGUAUGUGUAAUGUGUACACAACACAAUGGUAUUUUCACUAAAUAGAAAAACGAUUAGAAACCCAUUACGAAUACAUUGUUAAACAUGACAGGAUACAUGAUAGUAUAGUGUUAAACAUAAUGAGAAAAUUCAUUAUACAACCAUUACAACUUGUACAGUAAUAUGAAAAAGAAAAUAGCCCAACACAGAAAUAACCAAAUUUUCAGCUUCCUAACAUCUGAUUGAAGCUUCUUAUUCGACCUAAUCAAAGUUGUAAUCAUCUAUGCGUCCUUACUUGUGUUUGUAGUCUCCACUUGGUUUUCCCAACAUAUAAACCCAUCACGAGGACCCUAAAAUGAAAGUUUUAGGAAUAUGUAACCAAAAUCCAAAAAAAAAAUGAUUAUUUAAAUCUAGGUCAACAGUGGAACGAAAAUGUAAUUAACAUGUACCAUUUGGGGCAAGCAUAAAAGAGUCGACCAAGGUUGGACUGAGUAGUUGUCGUUUAUAUUAUUGCAUCAAAUCCAUAUGAGCAUUCCACCGAUUUCAUUGAUGCCUUCAUUUUAGUAAGGUCAAUUGAAAGAAAACAAGAAAAAAAGAGAAAAAAAAAGGUAAAUAUGCCCACGUCUCUAUCACGAAUGUGUAUAUACUCGAGCGUAAAAUGCGAAGGACGAAAUUACCCCACUCUUUGGCACUAACUAACUGUAUUGAGUGACAUAAUAUAGUCUAAUUAUAAUAAGGACUUAAUUUCCAUUAACUAAACAGGGUAACAUACGUAGUUUAUACAAAAUUUCCCAUGCAUACAUAGGUCUUCAUCCACCUUUACAACAUUAACAACAGGAUAUGAACUAAACUGAACAACAAGACAUAUGAAACACAAAAACCCUAAUACAAACACAUUACUACCUAAACAACACAAACACAUCAAUAUCUAAUCAAUACAAACACCAUGACCGCCAACAUACCACUUCUUCAAUACAUUAAGAACCUUCUGACAAUCCCACGAACUAUCAAUAACCAAUAAUACCCAAUUAACAAUUGGAAUCGAAUCUAUAUCCUCCAUCCAUACUAAGGGUAAAAGACCAUUUUCCCAUUUUGUAACUUGGCCCAUGAAUGAGGCCUAAACAUAUAAUCCAAAAGGCCCAAAUAUGGCUCAACAUAACCCAUGGUCAACCCUGAUCAAACUUCUAGUUAAAGUCAAAGUCAACAGCUCAUGUUGAUCAAACACGCCGUGUUCUUCCAUCAUCCAAAUAAUCGGGAAAACCCCAGCCAACACGUCGGGUUGGCUUGCAAACACGUUGCGUUUUCCCGAGAUUCAACAGCUUAAUACAAUAAGUUGUUUUCUCUAAUUUCAAGAGCUCAAAACUUCAUAUUUAGUCUGAAACAUGGUCCAGGAGGAUAAAGUUUCCAACUUUAUCCAUUGGGACAACCCAAAAAGGUUCAAACCAAAUCCAUAAAUCUUAAUAGUGCAAAGGCUUAACAAAUAAGCACUUAAUCCAUAAAAACAUAGCCCUAACACAUAGAUUUGACUUCCUUGAGCUAGAAAACCACGUAAAGUUGCCAAAUUUGCAUUCAUGCAUGUCUAAAUGAAGCUCUUAAGCUUAAAAAGGACUUACUAAUUCACUUAAUGCAUGAAUGACAUCAAAACUCUCAUAAAUCUUGCACCUUUAUGCUCAAGGAUACCAACACAAACUCAGAUCUGAAAGAACAGGCCCUUAAACAACCUAACUCAUCCAUUAACCCAAAAGGGACCAAAAGCACAACAAACUAGAUAUGAAGGGAUCUAAACAUAUACAAGACAAGAUGAAAACUUGAUACCUCAGAAAGCUUCCCCACAAGAUGAUGAUUCUAGAUCCAAAGCCUUUUCCCCAAGCAAAGCAAUUUCAAGAUCUCCUCUUCCUUCACAAAGACCAAAAAUGAGCACCAAGAACUUCUUACUACCUCAACAACACCACCAAGAGGAUUAAAGAUUAGUUCUAGGUUUUACUGGCAGUGGAGGCUAGUAAGGAGGCCAGCCAUCAGGACUGAAGGUCUUUAUAUAGGUGCAACACCCUAAAAAUUAGGGUUUUCUCCACCAGCCGCCAACAUGCCAUGUAAUGGCAUAAACACUUUGUGUUGGCCUUAAUGAAAGUCACGCUUCUUCAAAUAUAGACACGUCGGGUUGGUUCCUUUAACACGUUGUGUUUAACUCUACAAAGGGGAUUUAUUUCCAACAAUUAUUCCUCAAGAUUCCAGGUGUUACAAUUCUCCCCCACUAAAAUUAGAUUUCAUCCUCGAAAUCAUUCCUUACCAUCCCAGGUAUGCCAGACAGCUUGAAGAACGCAAUCACAACUCCGAGCAUACAAUGUCCUUCCUAAGGCUACAAAACCUAACCUUAGCAGAAAUCUCUAACCCGAUGAAGAAUGAAUUCUUAAUCCCUUGCGGAAACCAUUUGUACCUUACCUAAAACUCGAAAUCUGAAGUCUCAAAUUCGUCUGACUCCUUGACAAACACCCAUACUUAAUCACUACCAUACCGAAACCUCAUUAAAUUCCCGACCAACAAAAUGCUUCCAAGCCUUGAUUAUCUUGAUGAUUCUAUGGGGAACAAAAUCAAUGGCCAAUUACUGUUCUAGAACACUUAUACUUGACAUAAGGCUCAGAUAAUCCUUCAAGUAGAAGAUUCGUCCCUGCAACGGUUAGCCUCAGACAAGAGUUACACAAAAGGGUCAAACCAAUAACUCUGAGAUUAUUUUAUCCAAUCUGCAAGUGACUUAGCACGUUCCCCAAAUUUCAAGCAACUCCACACACAGAUCCCACAAUACUAAUAUUUUUGGAUAUAGUGUCUAAGUCCAUAACUAUAUUUGGUAUGUACUUGACCCGACCCGACAUGGUCCAUUUGGGUUGCACUUCACCCGAACAAUUUAUGGAUAAUCUUUUAAGAAUAGUAUAAGUUAUGAUUUAUUAAUAUAUUAUAAUUUCUAAUAUAUUAAUAUAAAAUCAUAUUAUUUAAUUAGUGUUGAUCUAUAAUUAAUUUAGAGAUCAAAAGUAUGACUAAUUAAAUAUGGGCUCUUAUAUUUAUAUAGUAUGGGCUAAUUCUUAUUUGGAAUGGGCUAGGCUUGCAUGGAAAGUCCAUGGAGCUUUAACCCAUGGAUCCCAUGGAAAUGAAAAGACAUGGGUAUUAGGGUUUACAUGGAUGUAACCCUAAUCCACCACACUAUAUAAAAGAGCCUUUAGUUCUUGAAAUUACACUAGUAGAUGUGAGAAAACCAAGAGGGCCGAUUGCAAGAAGGUUGUAGCUAUUCUCUCAAGUUUCCAUGUUUGUGGUGAUUUGUGACUUCCAUUUGAGGUAUCCACAUUAUUGGUGCUAGGCUCACAAACUCCAAGCAAUCAACUACUACUACAAGGUAAGUAAUUCUACUAGCUCUAUUUGAUUCAAGUACCCUAUGCCAUGCUAGUUAGGAUAAGAACCUUGGAAAAAUAAUUUUUUGCAUGUAUCUUAUUCAAACAUAGAUCCAAGGUUUCUAGGGUUGCAUGUACACCAUAGCUGUGUUAGAAUGCUCAAAACCCAUCAGUGGUAUCAGAGCCUAGGCUUGUUUACUUGAUACUUGAUGCAAAUAGCUUGAAAAUCGAAAUUUUUGUUCACUGCUCGUAUGAACUCGCUUAGUAAAUGGGGGGACUCGACGAGUCCAUGAAGAAAUGCAUGCUAUUCGUUGAGUAUGUUCAUGCACUCGACGUGUAGAGGCAGCAGUGUCCAGAUUUUCGAGUUUUGCUACUGGAAAUGGACUAGAAACAUUACCCUAAACUGUUUUGGUGUUAUAAAACUUGUUUUAAAUGGUGUAAUGUUUAGGAUAAUCCAUUUACAAUGGCUAUUAUAAAAAAUUACAAGUUUUAUAUAAGUUAUUUAUGAUUCUUGAAAUUAUUGAUAAUCAUGUUCUUGAACUUAUGAGACUAGAUGAUCAUAGGAAUUGUUUGUAACCUCCUUGGAAGUUUAAUUCUUGAUCAUUAUGUGUUUUAAUGGAGUCCAUAAGUUGUCCUCAAGUUAUGGAAAACCAAAGGUCACACUUUAAUUAAAAACCAUUAUAAGAACACAUGAGUUAUAAAAAUGAAGUGUCUUCAUUUUAAUACUCAACUAAGUCAUAAGUUAUGAGAAAUGCAAAGUUUUGAAAGUUUACAAAACUUGAACUCAAGUUUUGGAGCAAGUAAAGUCAUAUUAAAAACUUUAGUUCCAACUCUUAUAAUUUUAAUUAUUAAAAUUCAAACCUUAUACUUUAUAAUAUUAUAAGUUAAUAAUAAUAAUAAUAAUAAUAAUAAUAAUAAUAAUAUAUAUAUAUAUAUACAUAUAUAUNNNNNNNNNNNNNNNNNNNNNNNNNNNNNNNNNNNNNNNNNNNNNNNNNUUAAUAAUAUUUAUAUAUGUAUAAGAACAAAAGUCAUCUUACCAUUAGUACGCCUCAUUCACGAAGCCGGUCUAUAAGGCGGUAUAAGGUUGUUGCCUAUAAAAUGGCAACUUAAUGGGUGUCCAUUCUCUCCCACCGCUUCCUUGAUCGAUGGAGGGUCGUUAGCCGAAAAGUUAGGACAAGGACUAUAGUUCUCAUUUAAGUAUGAUGAAUAUACUAAAGUAACUAAACCUUUAUUAAAUUGCCAAUUUUAGUUACUUUAGGAAAAUGUGAAUAAUGUGCUAAUCCAUGAAAUUAAACUUUGCACUUUGAUUAAGCCGUUAGUGGAGUGUGUGUGGUUAACUGGCACACUAACCUGGACUUAUCAAGGUAGGCAAAGGGUGACUUAAUGUUUAUCAUAGUAUCGAUGGAGCGUGUGUGGUUAACCGGAACAUCAUUUGAGGGGUAGUACAUUAAGGGUACCAAGUAAUUUGCAUGGUUACUUCACACCUUGUUUUGUGAUCCUCAGCAUCCCAGUCACAAAACUUGAAGGGCACACUCGAGAUUGAAACAUGCCAAUUAAAAGUUCAAUGAAUCUCAAAGAAUCUAGGAGUUUCUAAACUAAUUAAAACCUAAUUAAAUAUUUAGUUUUUCAUGCUGGAAAUUGGUGAAUCGUCAUUCACCUAGCUUCAAAUAUCUUAUAGCUUAGAUUACGGCAUCCCUCUUCUAAGUUAUAAAAUAUUGUGUUGGGUCCUAGCCUUAAUAUUACAUUUGGGUGUUUUAUUAAGGACUAUCUUUAUAUCUAAUCUAAUAUAUUCAUUCUUCUUUUCAGAUGUCUUCCAAUAACAAUGUUGCUGGCUCAAACCCUACUGGCUCCUUCUCUCUCAUAAAUCUUUGUAAGAGAGUCAUCUUUGAUGGAUCCAACUUUAUGGAUUGGAUCAGAAACAUCAGGAUGGUCACACGUUAUGAGGACAAAGAAUAUGUCCUUGAUAAGGAGCUAAAGGAGAUUGAUGAGUCAACUACUACUCCAGAGGAGAUUGCUGCAUUUCAGGCACAUGAAAGGGAUGCUACUAAGGUAGCAUGCAUCAUGAUGGCCACUAUGACAGCUGAGCUCCAAAAGUCCUAUGAGGACCACUACCCUUUUAAGAAGUACAUGGAUUUGAUGGACCACUACCAUCAUAGUGCUUGUCAAUAAAGGUAUGAAAUUAUCUACUCCAUAAUAACUACCCGAAUGAAGGAUGGUGAGACCAUCACGGCCCACAUGCAGAAAAUACAAAGGUUUGUGGAUCGUUUGAAGAAACUAAAUGUUGACUUUCCUGAGGAGAUGGCAAUAGAUAUCAUUUUGCAUUCCUUACCUUCAUGUUAUGAUCAAUUUAAAAUUACAUACCACAUGAACAAGGAAGAAGUUACACUUAGUAAACUUCAAGGGCUUUUAAAGACUGCAGAAAGUAGUCUUAAAGGCAAGUCGGUUGUUACUACUCCUCCUACUCCAACUGCGGCCAGUGUCUUAGCAAUCAGGCAUGGAAAAGGGAAGAAGAGAAAGAACCCUUCUAAGGGUACCAAGUUUAAGACCCUUGAAGGCUCCUCUUAAAGCAAAACAAAGAAAAGUUUUGUCACUCCUUCUGCUAAACCUAAUAAGGCUAAAUGCUUCUAUUGCCAUGAAAAGUCGCACUGGAAGCGAAACUGCCCAAAGUACCAGCAAGAUGUGAAGGAUGGGAAAGUAAAACCCAACCAUGCAGGUAUAUACACUAUAUUGUCUAAUAACUCACCUCAUUCUAAGUCUUGGGUCCUUGACACAGGUUGUGGUAUUCACAUAUGUUGUGAUUUGCAGGGACUAAGAAGAAGUGAGAAUAUGGAGUAGGGAAAGAUAAACUUGAUCAUGGGGAACAGGAAAGCUUCACCUGUCACCAAGAUAGGAGUUAUUUCCUUAUUGCUAAAUAGUGGGUUUACAUUACAUUUGAAUAAAUGUUAUUAUUCGCCAGAAAUGGAAAGAAAUCUUAUUUCCUUUCAUGCAUUAUAUAAACAAGGUUUUACCUUUUAUUUUGAUAAUAAUAAUGGUGGUAUUGAUGUUUUCUUUAAUAAUGUUCUUUAUUUCAAAGAAUUACCUUGUGAUGGUGUGUAUGAAACUGUAUCUGUUGUAGAUAACCUAGGAAAUAAUGUAUUGUGUAUUGACUCUUCCACUAGCUUAGAUAAAGCAUCUUUAUGGCAUUGUCGUCUUGGACAUGUAAGCAAGAAACGCAUAGGCCAACUCCAAAAGGAUGGAGUCUUGGAGUCAUUUGACCUAAAGUCAGAUGAUAGUUGUGAACCUUGUUUGCUUGGUAAAAUGAAAAAGUCACGUUUUACUGGAACUUGUGCUAGGGGUGAAGGUUUGUUGGAUCUCAUACACACAGAUGUGUGUGGACCCUUUAGAACCGCCACAAGAGAUGCUAAUCGCUUCUAUGUGACUUUUACUGAUGAUUUUAGUAGAUAUGGAUAUGUUUACCUAAUCAAGCAUAAGUCAGAAACCAUUGAAAAGUUCAAAGAUUUUAAGUAAGAAGUGCAGAAUCUGUUCGUCAGGAACAUUAAGAUGCUUCAACCCGAUUGAGGUGGUGAGUAUCUUAGUUUAGAGUUCCUCGACUAUCUCAAGGGAUGUGGGAUUAUCUCACAACUAACACCUCCCAGGACACCGCAGUUGAAUGGUGUGGCUGAGAGGCGCAAUCGAACCUUGUUAGAUAUGGUUUGUUCCAUGAUGAGUCGAGGUUCGCUACCAAUCUCAUUUUGGUGGUAUGCCUUAGAGACUGCCGCCUAUAUCCUUAAUCUAGUCCCCACAAAGAAGGUUGCCAAAACACCUCAUGAUAUGUGGACUGGAAAAGUUCCCAAUUUAUACCACAUCAAGAUUUGGGGUUAUGAGGCUUUCGUGAGAUGAGAGACUCAUGAUAAGCUCAAACCCCGAAGAGAGAGAGGUGUAUUUUCAUCGGCUACCCAUAGAAAUCCUUUGGUUACAUCUUCUACAGACCCAAUGAUAAUGUGGUCUUUGUAGCAAGAAGAGGAGUCUUUCAAGAGAUACAAUUUAUAAGCCAAGGAGACAAUGGGAGGCAAAUUGACCUUGAGGAAAUUCAAGAGUCAAGUGGUGAAGGAACCUCAACCCCUAGCCCUCAACCCGAGGAGGAAACUCCUGUUGAGCCGACUGAAGAAUCUGUACCUCUGAGGUGUUCCACGAGAGUUAGGAAUGGACCUGAGCAUUACUAUGGUUUCCAUAUUACUACAGAAGGUGAUACAUUUAUCAGUGAUAACACACUGGUAAAUCUGGAUGAGCCUAACAGCUACACGGAAGCCAUGGCAGGCCCUGAGGCUGCUAAAUAGAAAGAGUUAUGGAUAGCGAAUACAGUCCAUGUAUGACAAUCAAGUAUUGCACUUGGUUGACAAUGUACCUGAUCAUAAGACGGUUGGGUACAAAUGGAUCUUCAAGAAGAAGACCGACAUGGAUGGUAAUGUACACACUUACAAGGCACGACUGGUUGCAAAGGGUUAUUCUCAAACUCCGGGAAUUGAUUAUGAUGAGACCUUUUCUCCAGUGGCCAAGAUUAAGUCUAUUAGGGUUCUGUUAGCAAUUUCUGCAUUUCAUGACUAUGAAAUAUGGCAAAUGGAUGUCAAAACCGCUUUCUUUAAUGGAAAGUUGGCUGAAGAUGUUUACAUGGUUCAGCCAGAGGGUUUUGUCAGUAUAGAGUACCCUAAUAGAGUGUGUAAGCUUAAGAAAUCCAUCUAUGGAUUGAAACAAGCACCUCGCAGAUGGAAUCUUUGUUUCGAUGAGUAAGUCAAAGAGUUUGGUUUUUCGAGAUGCGAAGAUGAAUCUUGUGUAUAUGUCAAGGCUAGUGGGAGUAUAGUUAGGUUUUUGGUAUUGUAUGUGGAUGACAUUCUACUCAUAGGAAAUGACAUCCCAACCUUGCAGGAAGUAAAGUCCUGGCUUGGGAAGUGUUUCGCUAUAAGGACCUUGGAGAAGCUGCCUAUAUCCUAGGGAUAAGGAUUUUGAGAAACGAGAGUAAAAGACUAAUUGGACUUAGUCAAAGCACCUAUGUGGACAAAGUGUUGAAAAGGUUCAACAUGCACAACUCCAAGAAAGUUGAGUUACCUAUCCAGUGUAAUGCCAGACUGAAUAAAAUUCAGAGUCCGAGUACAGAGGCUGAGAUAGCUGAGAUGAGUCGAGUACCAUAUGCUUCCGCUGUAGGCUCGAUCAUAUAUGCUAUGACUUGUACUCGUCUUGAUGUUGCCUUUGCUUUGAGUAUGGUCAGCAGAUAUCAGGGGAAUCCUGGCAAGGCUCACUGGACAGUGGUGAAGAAUAUUUUCAAGUACCUGUGAAGGACUAUGGACUGGGUCCUUAACCUUGGUGGGAGUGAUGACUUGAAAGUAGCAGGGUAUAGUGAUGCUAGCUUUCAGACUGACAAGGAUAAUUUCCGCUCUCACUCGGGCUGGGUCUUUACCCUAAAUGGAGGGGCAAUUACUUGGAAAAGUUACAAGAAAGAUACAGUGGCAGAUUCCACUUGUGAAUCAGAGUAUAUAGCAGUAAGCGAGGAAACAAAGGAGGAUAUAUGGCUAAAGAACUUCAUCGGAGACCUUGGAGUUAUACCAGUUAUAAAGGAGCUAAUGUAGAUUUUCUGUGAUAGCAAUAGUGCGGUUGCCUUAGCCAAGGAACCAAGAGAUCAUGGGAGAUCAAGACACAUUGCCAGAAAAUAUCACUUCAUACAACAUCGAAUAGAAGAAGGAAUCCUCGUGGCAAAGAAGGUAUCAUCAGUUGAGAACCCGGCUGAUACCCUCACGAAGGGACUGAUUAGGGUUAAGCAUCUUCAGCAUGCUACGAGCAUAGGGCUAAGAGAUGAUGUUAGUUCUUAGAAGUUAGAUAAUUUUGAAAUUUGUAAAGUGUAAUUGACAUUUGAUGAUAAAUAAAAGCUGUUAUUUAUGAGUAAAGUGUUGCUAUCUCUUGUCAAUCGUUUACUGAAGAGAUUAAGACUUAAUCUUGAAGAUCGAUUAGAUCUUAAACAGGUAAAAUAAUGAUUAAACAGCAAGAACAUGAAAAUAAAGAACAAGUCAAGAAUGAAUCAAACGAGUCGAAUGAUUAAACUUAAACCCUCAGAAGAGCUCGAUCAAGAACAUCAACUAUAGAGGGUUAAAAGGUUUACAAGAACGAUAAAGAAAUCUGCAAAGCUAUCGUUAUUCUCUAAAGCGUUAACCUAAUAUGCAUGCAAGCAUAUCCUUAUAUAGUAAACCUAACAAGCUCACGGUUGGACAGGCCCAAACCGGAGAACAAAACAUAUGGACUAACUGCCGAGCCCAAUGACGCAAUCCUUGAACGAAUCUUCAACCCAACAAUCUCCCCCUUUGCGUCAAUUGGAGCGAGAUCUUCAGUUGUUACUUGGGCCAGCAGCGGUGGCAGGUACUUUCUUCUUCACAGUAUUAAACAGACGCGAGAUGAGAGCCAGUAUCGUCUGUCUAAACCUGAUGUACCAUUGGAUCAUAUCGUUGAAGUAUUUAACAUCAUCCGCUGCAUUCUCUUUACACCUUUGGAUGAUCGACAACACGUGCUCUAGACAAGCAGUGGUGUAAAGAUGUUUGUCAGCUAAAGCAAAGAGACAUUUCUGUCCUUCUGCUCUAGUGAACAUGACCGAAUUGCGUCUCGGGUCGAUCUUGCCCAUUUUCAUUUGAUUGAGAUCACUGGCCGAUCCCACAGGAGCUAUCUUCGGUUUCUUCUUGAAGACAGUGGCUACCUCCUGAUCCAUUAGGGCUACCUCCAUGAUGUAACAGACUAACAUCCUUUUGAGAUGGUCUAUAAUCGGACCAUAUUCAGCUUCAUUCGUCAAGAGGAUGUUAUGCAAGACGAUCCAAUCAUGAGGAUUUAGGUUCGGUAGAUCUGCCAGGGAUAUAAGAUGUUCAGUUCUUGCAGACCCUCGAAUCACCUUGAACCGAACAUUGAUGAAUCUUCCUUCGGUAUAAGGCUUCAAUACCCGAACAUUCACUAUCUUCUGGGCGCUCCAUGUUAGAUACUGAGGACGAGCAGCCUUCAGAUAGAAUUCGAUCAGCUCCCUAUCAACCUCAGGGUUCGGAUGAGGGACUUCAAAAAUAUUGGAGAAGGCGUGGAAGAUAAACGCCUUUCGAGUCAACGGCAUGUCGAACUGCGAAUCGACAGAAUUAUAGCAGUCGAAGGAGAUCACCGGCUCGAGCCAUAGGAUNGAGACGAUGAUCUUCGUGGUAUGAAAAGUACCGACCGAAGACAUCGAUGCACCAGCAGCAGUGGGAAUAUCCAACUUAUCCAUCGCCCAUUUGGUGAUAAGAAUCCAGAACCGGGCAAACGACACCUCAGAAUGUCGUGAUGAAGAAGAAAGGCUCUGGAUGAGCUGUUGCCAGAGGACCAACCCAAAGUCUAGGUUGACUCCGUUGUAAAUUGCAUACAUAAUCGACAGGAACAGUCGACUUGAACCAUCGGAUCCUGAGCUCCUUUCAGAUAAGCCCUUGAAGAGGACUGUAAACAUGCCGUUCCACUGUGGCGGCAAGCAGGAUUUCUUGAACUUCGCAACGGAGGUGAGCGCCUCCGUGUAUCCCAUAUUAUAGAACAUGUUGUACAGAUGGCCAAGAGGAAUCGUCUCCGGAUUAAUUCUCGAUGGGUCAGCAGCCAACCCUAGCAGUGUACAGAAUCGUUGUCGAGAAAUGGAGGUCUUGUGAUCAGCAACCUCGAAGAACACCCACUCAACGGCUUUGUCGUAAUAUGCAGUAGCAUACACCUGCGAGAGACUCUCCAUGGGCACAGACUCAAUCCUAGAGAGAGCUGGAGCGAUUUGGGAGUACUUCAGGCACCCAAUGAUCGGCGACAUGUAAGAGUCGUAUGCCAGAGGGUUCAGAUCGAUCACCAAGCAUUGGUGAGGGCGAAUGGGUANUUGAGGACGAAUGGGAAGGAUGUGUGAGGUGGCAUGGACGGAUGAUGAUUCUGCCAUUGUUGAAGGUAGGAAGAAGAAGAUGAACAGGAAAGCUUUAGGGAAAUUUUUGCUCUCUUGGAAAUCCGGAUGCAGUAAAGAGGUAAAUGAGAGUGGAGACUGCCUUUUAUAGUGAUUGUAAGGAGAGAGAAAAAUCUGUUCAAAUCUUCUAUGGAAAUACGAAAAGGUUUCCCGGAAUGACAGAUGCGUGACAGUUAAGGCAUGCGAUGAUCACGUAGGAGAGAGAGUGUCAGAUUCCUAGGAACACGCCGCCCAACAAGCGCCGUUUCAGAACAAACCGUUUCAAAUCCUCACGCGCCUUUAAGUGCCAGAGAGGAAUCGCUUGAAAUUCGCACACACGUCCAUUAUGUCAGUAAAAGAGUGGGCGUUUCAAAUUCACACGCGCCCCUUUUUAUAUUCACCGGUUGAAAUUCAAUCCUUUUGUUUUCCCGCCUGAGUCAGCAACCCUUCGUCUUAUCUUUGAGAUGCCAUCUUUUGAAUUAAAUGCCCACAUGGAUGAUUUUUGACCACAACUUGAUAAUGAACCACCAAGGCAAUAAUACAGCCUGUAAUAAUUAGUAACAGAAUUUUGGAAAGUCAAAGAUUAUCGUGCGAAGAGUGUAAAAGGAAAAAGAAAUAAAGCAACUCUUUUGAGGAAUGACUGUGAGGUCAAUAAUGACACGAAACAAAUGAUCCCGGGCACGAAUCUCUUCCUUCAAGAUCAAGAGAGACCUCAAAGUGUUAAUGUGGAUUCCCGUUGAAUUACGAUCAAACACUUAUUAAUAAAUGUUGAAAGGCUUCUUUUAAUUAGGCUAUUUCAGGGUGGCUUUCGCUUUGAUGCAACAUUUCUAAUCUUGAAAUAAGAAAGAAAGUGAUCAAAGUACUUGUGAGACCGGUGUAGUCUGUUGAACAAGUAGGUAGGAAUUAAUUUUAAAUAGCUUGGAAAAUAUAAAAUCUCAACAAAAAAUAAAAACUGGAUCCCAAGGGAAGAAAUGUUAUGGUGUUUAACAAUUUCAUAGGAAUCACACAAAAUAAAAUUUGAGAUUUCAUGAGGGUACAUCCGUCAAUUCUUUAGUGAAAACUUGAGCAAAUUAAUUGUUCACCGUCAAUUCAGAUUUGGUGUUGAAUUGUGGGUUUCACUCAGCUCGUAGUAGCACGAAACUAAGAUCAUAAACACAGUUGUUGUGUAACCAUAAACCUCAGUGGUAAUUUCUGAGAGUCUCAAGGGUUACGUUGAUGAAACGAGUGUAAUGGAGAAAUGUAAUGGAGAUGGUGUAAGAAAAUAAAGUACCUCAGCUGCAAAAAGAAGGACCAAGCAGAAAACUCUUAACUCAUGUGAGAAGAGAGUGAGGUAGCUCACGAUUAGAAUAAAUGUGGUAGCCUUAUUGGGAAGACAAGGUUUGUUUAUACCAGGUCAUGAAGGCUAUUAUUCAAAAUCUUAUGAGGCUUGGGACACAUACAGCAGCAUGCUUCUAGGGACACUUAAGUAAUCCAACAAUUAUAUCCCCAUAAACGAACGAGCACAAAUAAAAUUAAAAGAGAAAAAUAUUUUUGGAGUUUUUGAAAUAGAUAAUAAAAAAAAAUUAAAAAGAAAAAAAAUUAAAAGAUAAAAAGUAAGCAAAGAAAAUAAGACUUGGAAAGAGUAAAAAAAAACUUUGGAAAACUUUGAAAGACCGAACCCGAACGUUCGGUUGGUUUCGAUUGGGAAAAAUUUGAAAAACCGAACCCGAGCGUUCGGUUGGUUUCGGUUGGGAAAAAUUUUGAAAAACCGAACCCGAGCGUUCGGUUGGUUUCGGUUCAAGAAAAUUUUGAAAAACCGAACCCGAGCGUUCGGUUGGUUUCGGUUCAAGAAAAUUUUGAAAAACCGAACCCGAACCUUCGGUUGGUUUCGGUUUUGGAAAAUUUUGAGAAACCGAACCCGAACCUUCGGUAGGUUUCGGUUUUGGAAAAUUUUAGAAAACCAAGGAAUUUAGACAUGCAAUCAGAAAAUACUUUUAACAAUAAGAUAAACAACUUUGUACAAGAAAUAUACAACCAAGAAAACUACCUUUGUGGUGAUGAGCGAGUCAGAUGAUUUAACCGAACCUGAACGUUCGGUCAAUUUCGCUUCUUACGUUUGAGGUUGAGAGGUAGUGUGAGGUACUGACUCUGAUUCCAUCAUACCUAGCCCUUGCAAUAUUCUGUUGAAUGAUGCUUCAGGAAGAGCUUUGGUAAAGACGUCAGCCAGUUGAUCAGUGGUUCUUACAAAGUGUACUUCGACGUUUCCAUCUUCCACGUGAUCUUUGAUGAAGUGAUACCUCAGUGCUAUGUGUUUGGUUUUAGAGUGUUGCACUGGGUUAUGACAGAUCCUAAUUGCACUUUCAGAGUCACAAUAUAGUGGGAUCUUCUUCAUAUUGAGUCCAUAGUCUCGAAGUUGACUCUGGAUCCAAAUCACUUGUGAGGUGCAGGAUGCAGCGGCUAUGUAUUCCGCUUCGGCAGUAGACAACGACACGCACGUUUGUUUCUUGGAUUGCCAGCUAACCAACUUCCCGUCAAGGAAUUGACAGCCACCAGUGGUGCUUUUUCUGUCGAGUCCACAUCCUCCAAGGUCAGCAUCUGAAUAGGCUUGAACGAAGAAGCCUGAGUUGGAAGGAUACCAUAGACCUAAGGAGGUGGUUCGCUUGAGAUAGCGUAAAAUGUUCUUCACUGCAAGCAUGUGAGGUUCGCGUGGGUUUGCCUGAAAUCGAGCACAAUAACACACAGAAAACAUGAUGUCAGGCCUGCUAGCAGUAAGAUACAUUAGUGAGCCUAUCAUUUGACGAUAGAGCGUGAUAUCAACAGCCGGUUUGUCUAGGGAUGGAGUUAGCUUGGUGCCGAAUGCCAUUGGGACUUUGACUUUGGAGUCUCCCAUCAUACCAAACUUUGCUAGGAGAGUCUUCGUGUAAGCUUCCUGAUUGAUAAAGAUGCCUUCGGGUCCCUGUCUAAUAUUUAAACCAAGGAAAAAGUUAAUAGGACCCAUUGAGCUCAUUUCAAAUUUAGUCUCCAUCAGCUUUCUGAAUUCAGCUGUUAGGCUGGGAUUCGUUGAGCCAAAGAUGAUGUCAUCGACAUAAAUUUGAACUAUCAUAAGGUGGUUACCUUCCUUUUUGCGAAAGAAGGUUGGGUCAACCGAACCUUGUUUGAAUUUAGACAUCUUUAAGAAUUUAGUUAGCGUUUCAUACCAGGCUCUCGGAGCUUGUUUGAGGCCAUACACAGCUUUAUCCAGAAUGUAGCAAUGAUUUGGAUAUUUUUCGUUCACGAACCCAGGAGGUUGCUCCACAUACACGGUUUCUUCGAGUUCUCCAUUAAGAAAUGCACACUUGACGUCCAUUUGGAAAACUUCAAAGUUUUUGUGGGCAGCAUAAGCAAGAAAUAUUCUUACAGAUUCCAGCCUAGCUACAGGAGCGAAAGUCUCUUCAUAAUCAAUCCCUUCCUCCUGACAAUAUCCCUUUACUACCAGACGAGCUUUGUUCCUUAUAACAUUCCCUUCCUUGUCCAUUUUAUUCCUAAAGACCCAUUUGAGACCAACAACCGAGGCAUCUGGAGGAGUUGGAAUGAGGCGCCAGACUUUGUUCCUUUCAAAUUCGUUCAGUUCGUCUUGCAUUGCUUGAACCCAAUCGGAGUGAUCGAGAGCAGUGUUAACUGUCUUCGGUUCAACUUUUGAUACGAAUGAGUUAAACAUACAAAACUCAACCUUUGAAAAUAAGGAUGUCUGUUUUGCCUUCAGUUGUGAUCGGGUCAGAACCUUUUCAGAGACAUCACCAACCACUUGAGAGAUAGGAUGAUCUCUGGUCCAUUUGGUAAGAGGAGGAUAAUUUGGAUCAAAGGUUGGGUCUAGUUCAGCAUUGAUCAUUUCUUCUGGCUCGGAUUGGCUUUCGUAGUCAAGUGACAUAUCACCAUGCUCCCCCUCGAUUGAUGAGCUAUGAGAAACUUGAGGUUCAGAGGUUUCUUGUGGUGCUGGACUUUCAGGCGUUGAUGCACCUUCGGUUGGAGAAGCACUUUCGGUUGCAGUUGGACUUUCGGUAGCAGUUGUAGAGCUUGGCUCCCCCUCAACAUGUGAGCUUGGCUCCCCCUCGACUGAAGCAUCGUUGGAUGGAGGUUCAUCAGAAUUCGAUCCUCCUUCAUUCAUUCUCCUGGCAGCUUCUUCGACAAUUUGCUUCAUGUGGUCUACCUUGUUGUCUGCUGCGCCUGCUUCUGAGAGAGUAGCUUUCUCUGGUUCGUCAAAUAGCUCCAGAAACUUCUCGUAUAGAUUAGCGAUCGAGACUGUGACUUGGCCAGUUUGAGGAAAGAUUUCCCCAGCUGUGUCUUCUUUGGCCUGUAGCUUUUUGACAUAGCUAUCGUCAAAAGUCACGUAAUAGGUCUCUUCGAUUUUUCUCGAACGCUUGUUUAGGACUCUGUAUGCUUUGGAAGUGAGAGAGUAACCCAGAAAGAUUCCCUCGUCGGCUUUGACAUCGAACUUGUUGCGGUGUUCUUUAGAGUUAAAGAUGAAACACCGUGAGCCGAACACAUGGAAAAAUUUCACAUUGGGCUUUCUGUUGUUGAGAAUCUCGUAUGGUGUGAGCGUGAAUCGUUUGUUGAGAUAAGACCUGUUCUGUGUAAAACAAGCAGCAGAAAUUGCAUCAGCCCAAAAAUAAAGAGGUAAGGAAGCGAAACUUAGCAUAGUUCGGGCAGCUUCACACAAAGAUCGGUUUCGUCUUUCGACAAUUCCGUUCUGUUGAGGUGUGUAGGGAGCUGAGAAGUUGUGACUUAUUCCCUUUUCUGCUAGAAAUUCUUCAAAUUCCCUGUUCUUGAAUUCCAGACCAUUGUCGCUUCUGAUGUUGCGAACGACCUUCUUGAGCUGUACUUCAAUCUGCUUGAUGAACACUUUCAGCUUAUGAGUCGCUUCAGAUUUGAGCUUUAGAAAGAACACCCAUGUAAAUCGUGAAAAGUCAUCAACAAUAACAAGAAUAUACUUGCUACCACCGAUGCUUUCGAUAGAUGAUGGACCACACAAAUCAAUAUGAAGUAAUUCGAGUGGUUCAACAACUUUUGUGUUAAUUAUAGAUGGAUGACUUUGACGACUCUGCUUCCCCAUUUCGCAUGCAGCACACAAAUGAUCUCUGUCGAACUUGAGCAAUGGAAGGCCUCGAACAUGACCUCCAGUGACAAGUUUGUUGAUAUCUUUAAAGUUGAGAUGAGAGAGUCUUCGGUGCCACAACCAGCUUUCGUCAGAUUGAGCUUUUGAUAACAAGCAUAUAGCUGGGUUUCCUUUGAUGGGUUUAAGGUUUAGAGGAAACAUUUCACCCUUACGCUCCGAUUUGAGAAUUACUUUCUUCGUCUUCUUCUCAAUAAUUUCAGAACCUUCAUCGUCGAAUGAGACUUUGAGACCUGUACCUCCAACAAGCUGAGAUACACUGAUGAGGUUGUGUUGUAGUCCUUCCACAUAAGCCACCUUCCUUAUAGUAAAAUCACCAUUAGUUAUCAUUCCGUAUCCCUUUAUGGUGCCGAAAGAGUUGUUUCCAAACUUGACGUUGCCACCAUUUGAAAGAGACCUGUAUUCCCUGAGCUCUUCUUUCCUUCCUGUCAUGUGACGCGAGCAGUCACUGUCAAUGUACCAUUCUUCGUCAAACUGCUCGUCACUUAUAACCUGCAAAAAUUAAGCAGAUUUAGGAACCCAAAGUUUCUUGGGUCCACGUGAGCUUUUCAUAGGAACAGGAAUAGUAAGAGAGAUGUCAACAAGAUAUGUUCGUUUUAUAAGUGUUGUUUCAUCUUUCUUUUUGAUGGUAAAAACUUUUAUUUUAUUAGGAUUAGGUGCGUUCGGUUUAGACUCUGGAUUGGAUGCAUUAACCUUCUGUUUGCCUUUUUGUUCAGCUGACGAAUGAGAUUUUUGAGAACGAACAGAAUGAGCUUUAGAGCAAGAUGGAGAUGAAUUGGAAGAAUUAGAAGAAUUAGAUGAAUGAGAAGGAGUGGGCUUAGAUUGAGAUGACUUCUUGGCUGGAGACUCUAGGUGACCCUUUUGCUUUUGAUCAUUGGUGGGACUGACCUUAGAGUUUUGAUCUCUUUUGACUUCAGAACCGAACCUUUGCUUUCGGUUGGAGUAGUUCUCUGAACCGAACCUAUGCUUUCGGUUGGAGUCAUUCUCAGAACCGAACCUUUGCUUUCGGUUGGUAUUCUCUUCUGAACCGAACCUUGGCUUUCGGUUGUUGUGGCUCUCAUGCUUUUUGACAGGAUUGUUCUCAAACUUCAGAUUCUUGUCUUGAUGUGAGAAAUAUGCAUUCUGGGAUUGCCAGAAUUGUUUCCUUUCAGAGAGAUUCUUCCUGUAUCUCUGGUUCCUUUCACGUUUCUUAUUCCUCAUCUGCUUCGGUUGAUGAUGAAUAUUGGCUUUCAUUUUCGGUUUCUCCUUGGCUGGUUCACUUUGAACUGUAGGAGUUUCACUUUGAACUGAGGAACUAGAGGGAAUGUCUUCUUUUGCCGAACUUCCAUUCUCUUGAGGAAUGUCUUUCGUACCACUAGUACUUGGCUCAUCGAAAUUAUCUGGCUUAUUCAAGGGUUCUGGUAUGUAUCUACCUUUACUCAUCCAUGAGGUUCUUUCUGAUAAGCCUACCGUUUCGUUUGCAUUAUCUAUUGGAGCUGACCAGAAGUACUCAUCGCAGCCAUCAGCAUUGUCUUCGUUUACAAUAGCUGUGAGUUCAGCGGUCUGAUGUUCGGUUACUCCAGUGACCUUGUACACUUGAUUUGGAGUGGUCCUGACCUUUUGAUAUACAACCGCUUUCUCUGCUAAGAUCGGGGACUUUUGUUGGGACAAUCGAGCGAACUCCACUGAAUUUUCAGAAAUUAGAUUCUUGUGGUUUUCAGGUUCGUUUUUUACAAAUUCUGAGCAGUCAACCGUGUCCUCUACAGAAAUUUCACUCAUGUUGUCGUCCUCAUUAAGCUCAGAUGCAUUUUCAACAUCAAUUUUGUUUUCUGAGCUCAAGUUGGCGUUUAAAGAGUCAAAUUUUUGUAUGGUUUCGGUUCUCAGUUUAAGUCUAUCAUUUUCAUCCAAAAGGUUUUUAAGCAUGUCCUUGUGGUCCUUGGAUUUAAUGAAAGAUUCUAUUUUGUCCAGUCCAUACAUGUAGGUCGGAUUAAUGUCAUCAGAUGAUAUCACACUCUCACAAUUAUAAGCUUCAGCAUCGAUUUCAUCCUCCUUAAACUCAAGGAAGGGCAAAAUCAUGCGAUGGAUCUUUUGGCCUAUUUCACAGUCCAAGUGAAGCUGAGUAAUAUUAGAAUAAAGACGUUUUGCAAUUAAACAAAAAACAUUCCGCUGUUUUAACAACUUUAAAUUGUCUCUUUGUAAAUAAAUGUUUUCGUCUUUUAUUUUAACUAAUUCAGACUCCUUCAACUCGAUCCACAUGCGCCGCUCCUCACUCUUCGAAGACACCCUGCUUAAUUGAUCAGUUAGGUUAGAAUUGGUGACUCGAGUUUGAGUUAAACUACUAUCUAGAUGAGAAAUUCUUGUAUUAACAUUUUUUAGUUCUUUCUCAUAUGAGGAUUGUGGUACUUUAAAUGAAACGAAAACCGAUUGUACCUUCUUGAUCAGUUCAUCGAGCUCGUUGAACUGCACGCUGAGCGGUUUGGCCGUAAAGCACAUAUCCUGCUGCUCCUUCGGUUCAUUGCUUCCACCAUCAGUGUUGUAUCCCCUCAUCUGAGAUACAUCGGACACCAUGAAGCACCUUCCUCCACUGCUCUCCUCCUUUGCCACACAAGCCUUUCCAUGAGAAGGCUUCCUCACUUCAUCGUCUUCAGAGUCGGUUGACCAAACUUCCACUCCACCGAACUCGUCAUCAGCAACCGAACCCUGCACAAUAAGAGCAUUCAUGGAAGGGUUAGCGGUAGAUUUCUUCUUCCUCAUCUCAUCAAGCUUUUUCUGUAGCAAAGCUUCCUCAUCCUUUUCCUCAUCUUUUUCAGCCAUCUUUUUGAGGACACAAUCCUUAGCAUAGUGAUUUUUCCCUCCACAGUAGUAACAGCUUACUCCAGAAUCACCAUCUGCUUUCGGUUCCUUCUUGGGCUCUUCAACCUUCGGUUCAUUAUUAACCUUUUCUGAACUAUAACUCCCCUGCCAGUUUCGGUUUUUGUUGCUGGGGAAUCUCUUCUUAAUGAACCUCUUGGGGUUAGACACCAUCAUAGCAUAAUCCUCAGACGUGAGGUCAUACUCCUCCAAGUUGAGGUCUUCAUCCUCCAUCACAGCUUUACUUUUUGACAGGAGGGCCAGCGAACCUAGGCUUGAAACAACAUUCUUUUCCUGCAGCACAAUCUUCUCCUGAGACUUGAGAAUACCCACCAGUUUCGCCAAAGAGUAUGAUUUAAACUGCUCAUGGGCUUUAACUGUUGACACCACUGCUCUCCAUUCUGACCUUAGACCAUUUAAGAACGUAACCUUCUGCUCGAUAAGCUUCCUUUCGAUGUCAUGUUUGAUCAUCCUGCUGAGAAGAUGAUUGAAGCGAUCGAACGUCUGGGUCACAGUUUCUUCGGCUCCUUGCCUGAAUUCUCCAAACUCAGAUAAGAGCAAGGUUUGGAUAGAAUGUUCAAGAUCCUCGUCUGUAGAGUACAGUUCGCGAAGUCUAUCCCAAACUUCCUUUGCCGUCGUGCAUGAGCUGACCAACCUGAAGGUGUCGGACUGAAGGGCGAAUCUUAUCAAUCUUAACGCCUUGAUAUUACACUGGAAUUUAUCCUUUUCAUCUUGCGCAAUAUCUUUGACAUCCUUCAGCAGAUCAUUAUACUCCUUUUGAGUUUUAAUAAUCCUUGACGUUGCAGAAUGAGAAAAAGGUCCAUUAAUGAUUGCUUCCCAUAUGAGGUAUCCAUUAUCCUCAGAUCCUAUAACGUAGUCUUCGAAGUGAUGCGCCCAGACUUCAUAAUCAUGGGUAUAUAGGAUUGGAAUCUUCGUGGUUGAACCGAUGCUGUUGGAAAUAUUGAUGGGAUUCGAUUGUGACUCGUCCAUUAUGAUCGAAAAACCUGUUCAAAGAUCAGACUUGUAAUAAAUCAGAUUAGGGCAAAACAAUAAAUAUCAAGAUACGUCAAUAAUGAGAUGACGGCUCAAUAAAUAUCAGUAAUUGCGGAAAAACCCUAAUUGAAACCUUUUCACAGAAAAGAUGUGUAUCGAUUACACAGCCUCCUGCUCUGAUACCAAUUGAAGAGAUUAAGACUUAAUCUUGAAGAUCGAUUAGAUCUUAAACAGGUAAAAUAAUGAUUAAACAGCAAGAACACGAAAAUAAAGAACAAGUCAAGAAUGAAUCAAACGAGUCGAAUGAUUAAACUUAAACCCUCAGAAGAGCUCGAUCAAGAACAUCAACUGUAGAGGGUUAAAAGGUUUACAAGAACGAUAAAGAAAUCUGCAAAGCUAUCGUUAUUCUCUAAAGCGUUAACCUAAUAUGCAUGCAAGCAUAUCCUUAUAUAGUAAACCUAACAAGCUCACGGUUGGACAGGCCCAAACCGGAGCACAAAACAUAUGGACUAACAGCCGAGCCCAAUGACACAAUCCUUGAACGAAUCUUCAACCCAACAUUUACUAUUAUUUCUUUUUGCAUGUUUUGACUUCCAGAAUAAUUAUGUUAUGGUAUAUAUCAUAUUAUUCGAACUCUCCACAGUCGGUCAUAUGUUGGAAGUAGAUAUGAAUCAAGAUUGUUAUGGGUUGGCUUGUAGAGGUUUAAGAUGUUAGACAAAGCGAGGCUACAACACUCAUGAGUGCUCAUAAGUUCUGAGUAUUGGAUUCAACCCACGCUCACUGGUAUCACUUCAUGGAAUUUAUCUCGAGUGAUCAUGAGACGGUAAUAUCAUAUAAGCCUUCAAACCUAGAGAUAUGAUUUUUUGCCUAUGAGUUGGUUAUGCAUUGAUCGCACGAAAACGCAUGGUAACUCGAUGUUAUAAACCAUGCCUUUGUGUGUAAUUCAACAAGUAGUAGAGCAAACCUAUGAGUCAAAGUUUAUCUGUUCCUUUUAGGAUUAGAAGUGAUAUCUAGGCCCCUCGAUGAUUUUGGUUAUGCAUUGAUUGCAUGAAAACGCAUUGGUAACUCGAUGUUAUAAACCGUGCCUUUGUGUGUAAUUCAACAAGUAGUAGACCAAACAUAUGAGUCGAAGUUUAUCUGUUCCUUCUAGGAUUAGAAGCGAUAUCUGGGCCCCUCGAUGAUUUUGUUUUGACCUAUGUACCGGGCCCGGUCAGAACUAAAUUGAUGUGUUCAGUUAAGUUCUAUGUCAAAAAAAUCGGAAUCGGGAAAGAAAUGUUGGAUAAUAAGCAAGACCAUGCUCCAUGUAUUUGUCCGACUGAUAUCUAGAAUAGAGGAUUAUAUGAUCACUUAUCUAAAAUGGCGCUUCAUAGUUCAAUAGAGUUUUGAGAGCUACGAUUGAUGACCGGUUCCUGAAGUCAUACUUGCAACUAUAGUUAUUAGACUUAUCCAAGUGGGAGACUGUUGGAUAUAAUGUCUAAGUCCAUAACUAUAUUUGGUAUGUACUUGAACCGACCCGCCAUGGUCCAUUUGGGUUGCACUUCACCCGAACAAUUUAUGGAUAAUCUUUUGAGAAUAGUAUAAGUUAUGAUUUAUUAAUAUAUUAUAAGUUCUAAUAUAUUAAUAUAAAAUGAUAUUAUUUAAUUAGUGUUGAUCUAUAAUUAAUUUAGAGUUAAUUUAGAGAUCAAAAGUUUGACUAAAUAAAUAUGGGCUCUUGUAUUUAUAUAGUGUGGGCUAAUGCUUAUUUGGAAUGCGCUAGGCUUGCAUGGAAAUUCCAUGGAUACUCCAUGGAGCUUUAACCCAUGGAUCUCAUGGAAAUGAAAAGACAUGUGUAUUAGGGUUUACAUGGAUGUAACCCUAAUCCACCACACUAUAUAAAGGAGGCUUUAGUUCUUGAAAUUACACUAGUAGUUGUGAGAAAACCAAGAGGGCCGAUUUCAAGAAGGUUGUAGCUAUUCUCUCAAGUUUCCAAGUUUGUGGUGAUUUGUGACUUCCAUUUGAGGUAUCCACAUUAUUGGUGCUAGGCUCACAAACUCGAAGCAAUCAACUACCACUACAAGGUAAGUAAUUCUACUAGUUUUAUUUUAUUCAAGUACCCCAUGCCAUGCUAGUUAGGAUAAGAACCUUAGAAAAAUAAUUAUUUGCAUGUAUCUUAGUCAAACAUAGAUCCAAGGUUUCUAGGGUUGCAUGUACACCAUAGGAGUGUUAGAUUGCUCAAAACCCAUCAAAUAUCGCCUGACUCAUUUUGCUGCACCUAGCUGCUUUCCAAUAGCAGCUGAGACCUCCAUGGUUCCAACCCGUCUGCCAACUAAGUGAAACACUAGAUUCCCACCCGGUUGCUAAGUCGAAAGAUACACACAUUCACCCCACGCGACUCCUAAAAUAAAGCCUCAUAUGGCAACAAUUGCCCAAACUAUCUCGCCACCAAGACCAACGCUAAAAGAGAAUACUCCAUGACCAAUUGUAGUCUUAUAUCAUACCCGGUCUCCAACGACCUACCAAUUCCUGAUUCCAAGCAUGAUGUGGCCCUCCCAUAGUCUUAUGAAUGGACCCACCCUAGUCUAAAUCAUCUAAAGAAAUCUAUGACUAAGCAUGGAUUUGCCUCACCCUCACUGCUACAUACGGACCGGUGAAUGCUACGGGCCACCCCGCAGUCUUACAACCCUCCCACACUAACUACCAACCUAGUGAAUGCUACGGGCUACCCCACAGUCUUAUAAAACUCCUACACUAACUGCCAACCUAGUGAAUGCUAGAGCCACCCUGCAGUCUUAAAACACUCCCACUUUUCCAUGGCCACCGCCCAUGGUCUUACCGCUCAUCUAUCAAUCCUUCCAAACACAUCCGGAGUUGAGCACACACCCGACGAAGCGCCCAAGAUGGCUCGAGUCAUGCCUGGAAGUCCAACCUGGCCCACCAAAAGCCUGUCAUUCAUCACCAAGAAGGCACUAACCAACUGUUGGGGAGUUUUUUGAACUCUUAACUCAUACAAUCCUCAAUCUAGAUGGCCACUUGGACCGCCUUCCUCCCUGAUGGGGAUGUGAAACUCAUCCUAGUUUCCUGCAUGAAUCUAUUCCUGGAAAUCUGAACGGUUCCCCCCCACUUUGAUCCAAAGAAGUUCUCCCAACACAUAAUAUUGAAAGAUUCCCAAUCCAUCUUACCUCUUAUUAUUGAACCGCUGACAACCUACACAUACCAAUGCUAGUGUUCCAUUACUAGCCAAAACCCAAGAUCGAACAACCCUUGAAGACCAUGAUAACACACCCUAAAAAUACUAGCAAAUCGGAUAACUCCAGAUGCUUUUAAUGAUACAUCACCCAAAUCUUGAAGUCCUUUAUCCUGGUGACAAGAUCGAACCUUAGCAAUAGACUACUUCCCUUGGCACUCCCAGUGGCCAACCAAGCUCAAAUACUAAAACCACUAAACCCCAACGACACUAGAGAAUUAGCACGCUGAACCUGACCAUAGACCUUCCAUAUAAUACCCCUGAACUUAUCUCGACCAAGAACCAGAAUAACAACCAAACACAUUGAAAUCUGCUCAACAAGAUACAACCACUUACUGACCUACUAAUGAUUCAUGGCAUGCAAAAGGAAUAUAACAAUUAUUGAUGACACAAAUCAUACAAUAAUAGAGAAUUUAACCAAAGAUCAUGCUUACCCAGACCGAUAUAAAAUUCCAAACAACAUAAAUAUUGAUAACAAAUGAAAAGAUGGCAAAAGAUAACAUACCCUCAAUAUCAUGUGCUGGAGUCCUGGCCUCCCCUGUGUAACACUGCAAUGUCCGACUCCUCUCUGAUGGGGCUUCUACCCUACCCUCACGACUAUCAGUGAUACUCAAAGUAUCCGGAGCAGGUACACUCACCUCCCCUCGCCAUUGAGCAAUUGGCCUUCUUAUGGCCCACUUGGUUGUAGUGAAAACAUAAUGGGCUUGCCUCCUGAGGACAAUCCCUGCUAACAUGACCAAUCUUGAGACACUUGUAGCAGCCCAAACCCCUAGAACAACAAACCCCAUCGUGUAGUUUCCCUUACAUCUUGCACUGAUCCCGGCCCUGCUGGCCCUUCAAUCGCUGAUCUGACGCCUUGGUCUCUUCUCGGGACUCUCCACUACCUGCAACUUAUUUGGCCCCCUCUUCCCUAGGUGAUUCAAAUCGAUCUCCCGCUCACGGGCUAUAGAAAUCAUAUCAUUCAGGGCCUUGUAGCCUGAUAUAAUCACAAACUCCUUGAUGUUAUCCCUCAGCAUAUCAUGAUACCUUACCUUCAUCAUUUCCUCGCCCACUGCAUACUGUGGAACCAAUAAGGCUCUCUCCUUAAACUUAGCAGUGAUCUCUGUCACAGUCUUAGUAGUCUGGCAAAGAUCCUAAAACUCUCACACCAACUACUGCACCUCAAUCACCGGUGCGAACUCAACUCAAAACCUGGUCGAAAAAUCAUCCCACGACAUAGCAUCAACAACAUCAUAACUCACCUCACAUCUUACCUCUUCCCACUAAUCUUGUGCCAUGUAUUUUAAAAGGCAGGAAGCAAAUAUGAACUUUGACCCCUCAAGAGAGAAACUCGUCCUGAACACGUUAUCCAUAAUCGUUAACCAUCUCUUACUGACAAUGGGUUCCUUCUCCCCAGAGAGCGUGGGAGCUCCACAAGCAUGAUACUCACUGAAAGAAAGAGUGCAAGCUUCAAUGAUAUCCAUAACCUCGGCUCAAAACGUGCCUAAGCGCCCAUCCAAAAUCUCCAAAAUCCCCUCCUUGAUCAAACCAAAGAUCACAGGAGUCUGCUCCAAAAUACCGCGGUAACUUCCGAUGAGAUGAACUCCCACAUCUACCCAAUAAUCGGCUCAGUACCUGCACCUGAGCCGAAACCAGAACUAGAUGCUCCUUCCUAAGUGCUCAUCACCAAAUUGAAAUACGACAUGCAAAUGAUCAGAACAUACCCAAGAAUACUCAUCCCACAAGCUCCUUAGAUUCUCCAAGACUCUCAUCGAUUUGAGUAUGGAUCCUAUGCUUUUAGUAGUAUGGUCCUAAUACUACCUUCCACACCUAUCCAUACUUUCCUCAAGAAUCAUCCCGGAUCCUCUAAGUCGCCUUCUCAAACUGAUGCACCAAAACUCACUAAACAGCAGAACUAAACCCACUAGAGCACUUCCUAGGCUCCCCUAGGUUCCCGGCCUCACCCUGCCCUCAACUGCUGAAAGGCACCUACCAAUGUCAACUAACUACCUCAUGAAUAUAGUCACAUGUGACAGAGAUCAAAUAAUCCUUUGAGUAGAAAACUCAACCCUUGAACGGUUGGACUCGAACAAGACUUGUGCAAUAGGUUCAGAUCCAUUACUCUAAGAUUAUUUAACUUGUGCCACAUGUGACUUAGCAUAUUCACUUAGUAGUCAAUUCAUAUCGCUAAGAAUCCCACAAAGCACAAAGCAAGCAGCAUUCAUGCAAUGGAAAAUCUAACCAGCAUAUACUAAUCAAGCCAUUCUAUCCACUUAUCUGAAAACCAUAACAACAUGCAAUUUUAAAAGCUCAUACAAUCAGGCAUAUAAAGGCAUCUCUCCUAUCAUAAAAUCCAAAGCAGAUCCUUAGCCCUAAUAUAACAUGCAGUUCUCAUAAUCAUAUCAUAUCACAAUAAACAUGUAUUGGUAUUCUGGGAAACACUUGCUUGAGCUCGGCCGAUUGCACGCAUCACACCCAUUUCUUUGAUUAGAAACCUAUUUUUAAUAAAAAAAUUAUUUUAUGAAAAAAUUUCACCAAACCCUCGGUUUGAGUUCAGGCAUACUCGAGCGUAUGCUCGAACCCCUCAAACCAAGGCUCUACUACCAACUUGAAACAUCCCAAAAAUCACAGGAUAAAAUUUUCAUUUUUAAUAUAAUCAAAACACUCAUUUAUUCUUUAUUCAAACAUUUAGAAGUUUUUCAAAUAAAACAAUUAUCAAAGUACGUUCCUAAAAUCAUGAGUUGCGGAAAACACAAGAGUAUGCACUGGGAUCAAGAUGGGCCCUUCCCUUUCAAACCGGAAGUACCUGAAAACCAUGGCUCUUAUAUACAAGUGCCAGGAGCCACCUCCUAUUCUUCCAUGCAAGAAUUACAAAGACAACUAGCAUACAAUCUACAACUACUUAUCUACUAAACUGCCAGAGUCCAAAUUCUGGUCCUGCAUACAGAUUUUUCAGGACCACCUCCGGGUCUUUAAUUCAAAUGCCAAGGGCCAUCCCCUGGUCUUCCAACAAUAUAUAAACAAACAGGGUUGGCAUUGGUGCCUUCAACCCAUAGAAUAGUGAGGAGACUCACCCCGCACUGUUGAAUCACACUGAUAAUCCCUGACAGGUGGUCUGAUAUUCCCCCAAACUAUCAGUAACCAAUAAUACCCAAUUAAUAAUUGGAAUCAAAUCUAUCCUUCAUCCAUACUUAGGGUAAAAGACCAUAUUACCCCAUAUCUAUCUUGGCUCAAGACUGAGGCUCAAGCAUAUAAUCUAGAAGGCCCAAACAUGGCUCAACAUAACCCAUGGUCAACCCUGAUCCAACUUCUGGUCAAAGUCAAAGUUAAUAGGUCAUGUUGACCAAACACAUCGUGUAGCCCCUUGGACAUGUUGUGUUCUUCAAUCAUCCAGAUAAUCGAGAAAACCCCCAACACGCCGUGUUUGCUUGCAAACACGACGUGUUUUUCCGAGAUUCAACAGCUUAAUGCAAUAAGUUGUUUUCUCUGAUUCCAUGAGCUCCAAAGCUCAGAUCUAGUCCAAAACAUGGUCAAGAAGGAUAAAGUUUCCAAAUUUAUCCAUUGCUAUUACCUAAUAAGGUUCAAAACAAAUCUAUUAAGCUUAAUAGUGCAAGGGAUUAACCAAUAAGCACUUAAUCCAUAAAGACAUAGCCCCAACACACAUAUUUGACUUCCUUGAGCUAGAAAACCAUGUAAAGUUGCCAAUUUUAUGUUCAUUCAUGUCUUACUAAUUGACUUAAUGCAUCCAUGACACCAAAACUCUCAUAAAGCUUUUACCUUUAUGCUCAAGCAUAUUAAAGCAAACUUAGAUAUGAAAGAACAAGCCCUUAAAUGACCUCACUCAUCCAUUAACCCAAAAUGGACCAAAAUCACAACAAACUAACUAUGAAGAGAUCUAAACAUAUACAAGACAAGAUGCAAAGUUGAUACCUCAAUAAGCUUCCCCACAAGAUGAUGAUUUUGAAUCCAAAGCCUUUUCCCCAAGCAAAGCAAUUUCAAGAUCUCCUCUUCCUUCACAAAGUCCAAAAAUGAGAACCAAGAACUUCUUACUAGCUGAAGAACACCGCCAAGAGGCUUAAAGAUUGAUUUUAGGUCUGCCAUGAGGACUGAAGGUCUUUAUAUAGGGUGCAACACCCUAAAAAUUAGGGUUUUCUCCACCAGCCACCAACACGCCGUGUAAUGGCAUAAACAUGUUGUGUUGGCCUUAAUGAAAGUCACGCUUCUUCAAAUAUAGACACAUCGUGCUGGCUUUUCCAACACGUUGUAUUGAACUCUAGAAAGGGGAUUUAUUUCCAACAAUUAUUCCUCAAGAUUCCAGGUGUUAUAACUCCCCCCACCCCCUAAAAUUUGAUUUCAUCCUCGAAAUCAUUCCUUACCAUCCCAUGUAUGCCAUACAGCCUGAAGAACGCAAUCACAACUAUAGGCAUACAACGGCCUUGCAAAGGCUACUAAACCCAACCUUAGCAGAAAUCUCUAACCUGAUGAAGAACGAAUACUUAAUCCUUAUGGAAACCAUUUAUACCUACCUGAAACUUGAAAUUUGAAGUCUCAAAUUGGUCUGACUCCUUAACAGAUCAACCAUACCGAAUCACUACCAUGCCGAAACCUCAUUGAAUUCCAGACAAACAAAACACUUCCAACCCUUGAUUAUCUUGACGCUUCCAUUGAGAAAAAAAUCAAUAGCCAAUUAUUGUUGUAGAACACUUAUACUUAACAGAAGGCUCAGAUGUAACAUCCCGAUUUGCAGGUAUGAAUUUUUAAGAUUUUUAUUCAUAUUACAGGACCUACUCGACGAUUUGGGUGGCCCAAACUCGUCGUGUAGAAACGAAGGAGUGUGCGUGAUUUAUAAACUUACUCGACGAGUUGGAGGACCCUAACUCGACGAGUUGACGGAAGAACAUGAAACCCUAAUUUUUUAGGGUUUUCACCCUAUUUAAGGAACCUUAUGACUCAUGGCCGACCUCCCUCAUCAUUCCCUCAGUCUAGAAAAACCCUAAAUCAUGUCUCCUCAACCAUUUUGAGUGUGUGAGUGUUCAAAGUGUGUUCUUGGGUGCUUUUCUUGAAGGGGUUUGAAUUUAGUGGUGCAUAGUUAAAGGGAGAAGCCUUAGAUCUAGGAGUUCCGGUGUGAUUUCAACCAUUUGGAGGUAUAAAGUUGAUAUCUUGAUCACAUCUUUGUUAGAUCUCUUCUAUUGAGAGUUUAUGGCCAUUAUUAGCAUGUUUUGGGGCCAUUCUUUGAGUUGAGCAUGUUUUGAAGUAAUAACUUCAUAUCUGGACAUCUUAGGGCCUCUAUAGACUUAAAGUUGCCAAAUUUAUCAUGUCUUGGCCCUCAAUUAUGCUCCAAGUCCCAUAAUAAGCUUCACGUGAGAUUUUUAGCCCCUUUAUGCCAUGUAUGGACGUAAAGUUAGAAACUUUACAUGGUAUCUUAACCCUAGGGGACCAGAUCUAUAGUUUGGGGUGUUAGACUCGCUGGAAAAAUGUUUGAAUGUGUUCAGGAUAGGAAGAACUCGACAAGUUACCCUACCAACUCGGCGAGUCGCCCCAGGGUUUCUCCAAUAUUCUGGAUAUUGUACAAACUCGAUGAGUUGAUGAGAGAACUCAGUGUGUUCACUUGGAUUUUCUUGUUUUUAUGAGAACUGAAGGAGCUCGACGAGUCGCAAUGAUGCACUCGACGAGUUGGAUCAACAUGGAAUGUUGACGUUGACUGUCGACUUUCUUUGACUUUUAGGGUUUUGAUCAUGUUUUGAACUUUGGAAGCCAUGGAAGGGUAAAAUGGUCUUUUACCCUUCUAAGGUUUAAUAGAGAAAGUUUAGCCUUACAUCUUUGAGGGUUGAUGAUAUCAUUUAUUAAUUAGAGGUAUAUGUGAUAUAUGUUAGGCUGAAUCUAGUCCGACAAUUCGAGUGUGAGGUUUAUCUACUUGACUUUGCAAGGUGAGUCUUCUCACUAUACUUACCUGAGUGGUAUUUACUAGGGGUGUUCGCGAUGCAGUUUGGUGCGGUUUAGAGUUGAAACCGCAAACCGCACCGCACAUGCAGUUUGAGUUUUUUGGAAACUGCAAACCUUACCACAAAAGCUCUAAACCGCAUUAUGCGGUGCGGUUUCAUGCAGGCGGUUUGUGCGGUUUAUGCGGCUUGAUAAGUUGUUUCAAUUUAUAACUUUAGUUGUUAUUCAUUCCAAUUAAACACUUUCAAAUUUUAUUAAUUAUAUUGCAUACCCUUUAAAAGGCAUAUAUAUUGCAAACAAAAAAACCACAUAAUGUUUUGCUAAGUUGUUAUGACUUAUGAAAUUUGAUAUCAUAGUCUUUUAAGUAUUUAAUUAACAUAUUUAACCAUCGUGAUCUAGAAUAAAGUUAUUGGAUAGUAUGAAGUCNAAUCUUUAAUUAUCAUAUUUCACAACCGUGAUAUAGAAAAAAAAUUAUUCGACGCUAUAAAGUAUUUGGUGAUUGAAAACUUUGAUAUAUAUAUAUGAUGCGGUGCAGUUUGAACCGCGGUUUGGUAACUAUAAACCGCAAACUGCAUCGCAUAGUGCGGUUUGACAAAAUAACUAACUGCAAACCGCAUUAUGCGGUGCGGUGUGGGCGGUUUACGCUGUUUUUUGCACACCCCUAGUAUUUACUAUGCGACCAGAGGGUCUUAUUUGUGUUAUUGACCGGAGGGUCUUAUUUGCUUAUACUGAGAGACGUGAUAUUAGGCAUUAUGUCUUUGUGAUUUAUGUUGUAUAUUACUCUAUCCAUUUGUUGAGCUAUGACCGGAAGGUCCAUACCGAUCAGUGAGACUGGAGGGUCUCCACUGAAACACCAGACCGAGGGUCCAAACUGAGUCAUGAGAUCGGAGGGUCUUCACCGAAACACAGGACCGCAGGGUCCAAACCGAGCCGUAAGACCGGAGGGUCUUCACUGAGACACAUGACCGUAGGUUCCUUAUCGAUACAUAGCCAUGAGAUGCUAAUUAUUUGUGUGUGUGGUAUUUUGGGGAACUCAGUAAACUUCGUGCUUACAGCGUUUGUGUAAAUGUGUUUCAGGUACAUCUCAGGAUCGCAGGAAGGUGUCGGCUUGAUUGUACACACAAGCUUGAUGAUUUGUAUUUAUAUGGAUUCUGGGAUAUUUGACAAACAACUUCCGAUGUGUUGUGAUUGGGAAAGUUUUAAAUUUGCUUAAUAAACGUAAACUAUGUAUUGUGUGAAGGUUUUAAAAAUGAAAAUUUUGUUUGAAACUUUAGAGGGUUACAUCAGAUAAUCCUUCAAAUAGAAGAUUCGUCCCCACAAUAGUUAGACUCUGACAAGAGUUGCACAAUAGGGUCAAACCAAUUACUCUGAGAUUAUUUAAUCCAAUCUGCAAGUGACUUAACACGUUCCCUAAAUUUCAAGCGACUCCACCCAUAGAUCCCACAAUACUAAUACCGCCUGACUCAUCUUGCUACCCCCUGGCUGCUUUCCAAUAGCAACUUUGACCGUCCUAGUCCCAACUCGUCUACCAACUAACUGAAACACUGUGUUCACACCCGGUUGCUGAGUCAAAAGACAGAUACAUUCUCCCCACGCGACUCCCGAAAGAAAGCGUCAUCUGGUAACAAUUGCAGAAACUAUCUAGCCACCAAUUCCAAUGCUAAAAGCGAAUACUACAUGACCAACUGUAGUCUUAUAUCAGACCGGGUCUCCAAUGACCUACCAAUUCCUUAUUCCAAUCAUGUUGUGGACCUCCUACAGUAUAAAUAAAUCUAUGACUAAGCAUGGAUUUUCCACACCCUCACCGCUACAUAGGGAUUUAUGAAUGCUACAGGCCACCCCAUAGUCUUACAACCCUCCCACACUAACUGCCAACCUAGUGAACGUUAUGGGCCACCACGCAGUCUUACAACACUCCUACAUUAACUACCAACCUAGUGAAUGCUACGGGCCACCCCGCAGCCUUACAACAUUCCUACUUUGUCGUGGUACCACCCAUGGUCUUACCGCUCAUCUAUCAAUCUAUCCAUACACAUCCGGAGUCUAGCACACACCCGAACAAGCGCCCAAGAUGGCUAGAGCCAUGCUUGGAACCCCAACCUGGACCCACUAAAAUCCUUCUAUCCAUCAUCAAGAAGGCGCUAACCAACUUUUGGGGAGUUUCCUGAAAUCCUAACUCAUACAAUCCUCAAUCCAGAAGGACACUUGGGUCACCUUCCACCCCGAUGGGGAUAUUCUACUCCCGGAAAUCAGAGUGGUUCUCCCCCACUUUAAUCAGAAAAAGCUCUCCUAGCACACAAGGUUGAAGGAUUCCCAAUCCAUCUUAUCCCUUGUGAUUGAACCGCUGAUAACCUGCGCACACCAAUGCUAGUGUUCUUUCUAUCCAAACCCUAAGACCGUACAGUUGGGUUUGGAGCAUUCUAACACUCCUAAGUGUACAUGCAACCCUAAAUACCUUGGAUCUAUGUUUUCUCUAUUAUACAUGCAAAUAUGAACUUUCCAAGGUAUUCAUGCUAACUAGCAUAAUAACAUUGUUUCAAAUGAAUAUAUCAAGUUAGAAUUACAUACCUCUUUGAUGUAGAAUGUCUUCAUGAAGCUUGAGUGCCUAGUGCCCCAAGUGUGACACCUCAAAUGGUUCACACAACACCAAAUACACUUGGAAAAACUUGAGAGAACAUACAGACUUCAUGAAAAUCGGCUAGCCCUUUCACAUAUCCUCUAGUGGCGAAUUUUGUCAACAAUAAGAUGCUUAUAUAGUUUGGGUUACACCAUGUAAACCCUAAUUGACAUCGUCUUUCAUUUCCAUGAUCCAUGGUUACAAAAACACCAUGGAGCAUCAUAUUGGUUUUAGCCCAACUUGAUAAUCCAUGGAGCAUUAGCCCACUAUACAAGUAUGGAUGAUUUACACAAUCAACCCAUAUAUUUAAUUAGUCUUCUUUUGAUCACUUAAUUAAUUCUAGAUUAAUUCUUGAUCAAUACUAAUUAAGUAAUCUUAUUAAUAUAUUUUAACUUAUAAUAUAUUGACAAACCUUAAGUGUUAUUUCUAUCAUCAUAGUCUAUCCAAAUGCAUGAUGCCAUGCAACCCAAAUGGACCAUGUCGGGUCGGGUCAAGUCUUACCAAUUAUAGUUAUGGACUUAAGCAUUAAUCCAACAGUCUCCCACUUGGAUAAGUCUAAAACUAUUAUUGCAAGUAUGACUUCAAGAACCGACUGGAAAUCGUAGCUCUCAAAAGCUUUAUCGAACUCUGACCUUGCGGAUGAUCUAUGACCUUUGUCAAUGACUUGUCCAUUAGAUAAGGGAUCAUAUAUUCCUCCAUUCUAGAUAUUAUAUGGACUGAUACAUGGAUUAUAAUCAUUCUCUCGAUCCAUUUGUUGUUUCCCAAUUUCCGAUUUAUGACGACUAACUAAUUGAACAAAUCAAAUUAGUCCAGGCCCGGCCGAGCACUUACAUUUGUCAUCAGCAGAUCAUCGAGGGGCCCAUAGAUAUUUCUUUUAUCCCGAAGGUAAAACGAAUGGAUAAACUUUGACUUAUAUGUCUUGUUCUACUACUUGUUGAAUCAUACACAAAGGCACGUUUUAUAACAUCGAGUUACCAAUACGUUUUCAUGCAAUCAAUGUAUAACAAACUCAUAGUAACAACUCAUAUCUCUAGGUUCGAAGAAUAUAGGAUAUUAUCGUCUCAUGAUCACUCGUGAUAAAAUCCAUGAAGUGAUUCAAUUGAGCGCAGGUUGGAUCCAAUACUCAGAACUUAUGAGUACUCAUGAGUGUUGUAGUACCACUUUGUCCACCAACUUGGACCUCUACAAGCCAACCCAUGACAGUCUUGAUUCAUAUCUACUUCCAACAUAUGACCGACUGUGGAUGAUUUGAAUAACUUAUUCAUUCAGAACAAUGACCUAGUUAUUCUGGAAGUCAAAACAUGCAAAGUGAAACACAAUAAUAAUCAAAUCCAAUAUGGUCUCAGAACUUAUGAAUAUAAAUAAAACACCUUUUAUUUAUCACCAUAUGAUUACACGUUAUUCAUUGUAUACUAUUUCAAAUUAUCAACUUUAUACUUGAAUUAAAACAAUAGUUGUCCCAUGCUCCAAGCAUGUACACUAUGUUUUCUAAACACUAGUCAUGCCACACACCAAGUAUGCAUACUAUGUUUGUCUAUGAUCUUUACUUUGUGAAAUAAAUCAAUUAAACAUAACUCCAAUGAUUCUCAUUUCACAGUCCUAAAUCCUUACUGCAAAUGCAAGAAUUCCAAAUUCACACCACUUACCAAAAUCUGAUAGAUUUUAAACUUAUAUGCAUUUAUCCUCUUGAAAUGGUUAUGCUCAAAGUCACAAAGACUUGUCAACAAGCAUUAUAGAUUAUUCCAAUGGAGAUCAAAUCCAUGGAAACAUCCUUCUUGCAUUAAGUUUUUCUAAUCUGACAUGGAUUGAAUAAUUUCCAACUUUGAAACAUUUCCAUAUUCCAUUUUGACUAUCACUUCUGAACAAGAGUUGUCUCCUUACAGAUUAUGUCAAUAUGGUCCUUCCAGAAUUGACACUAUACUUCCAACUGUCCUUCAGCAACCAAUCUUUGGUAAACCUUAGAUUGUCCUCGACAAUUGCUUAAUCAUUUUAGUCAUAUCCAAUUCUCGACUUUUCCCUCUUAAUGCUGUGAGAAUUUUGAAAAAUUUAGAAAGGAUUAAUGUUAUAGCACAUGCACUCGAUCUUAUAUCCGAAGCAUAUGAUGUAUCACAUAAAGACAUGAUACUAGACCAGUCUUUUGCUAUAAUAUUUCUAUUUCUAUUUGCCAAGUUCUCAUAAUUCAGAUUAUGAAAAGGGAUGUCGUAAUCAUAAUCGAAUUUUAGAAUGCAAAUAAUGAACCCAUAUAUAAAACUUACUUAUGUUGAACCAUUCCAACAUAACAUUCAUAUAUAUACUUGACUAAACUUGAUUAAAAUCUUAGUAUCUAACCUGUUAGAUUUGAAAUGAAGUAUAAUUUCCUCUCCCUUAAUUAUAGCAAAAUAACUUUUCAACCCUUGCAACCUCAUGAAUUGAAACUUUUGUUUUCUAUAAUUAACAUUGCUAACUUGCAAUACUUAUUCUAAUUAUCAUGCUCCCACUAACAUGAUGAUUAUUAGCAUAACACUUAUGCUCCCACUAGCUUUGACAUAUACUUAGAAAGUACCUGUAAUUCUAGAAAUCAAUACUUUGUUGAGUUUCUUACCAAAGUUUAGAUUUCUAAUACGAGAUGCUUUGAUAAAACUUUAUCAAAAUCAUACACAUUCCCUUAGAUAGCACACUUUUGUGACUAAAGAAUUAUGAAGAUGGAUGCCGUAAUCAUAGGUUUAGACCUUUUUUGUCAUUUCUCAAAAGUCCAUGUUAGUGUGUCGGUUAACCACACACGCUCCACCAACGACUUUGAGAAUGCAAAUAUCAAAAUUGCUAUCUACUUAAAAAACCUACUUAGUGAAAGUGUUUCCUCACCAUCAUUUUCAUGAAUUGAAGAGAAACCUUAUGAAACUUAGAUUUUUAUGGUGUAUGUGUUUUUAUCUAUGUGAAUUGUCAAAACCAUAGUCACAAGACAAGGAUAAUGACAAAUCCAAACACAUAUGGACUGAACUCAAUCUUAUUUUUCUUGCCACCUAGCAGCUCAAGGACCUGCCAUUGCUUCCAAGUUGAUAUGCAACCAAUUGAGAACUCUAAGAGCUCAUAUGCAAAGUCAACUUUAACUGGAAUGGGCACAGAAUAUGUCAACACGAUAGGUUAUAAACCUCAAGCUAGUAAGAUACAACAGGUUUUAUCCUUGAUUAGUGCUUUAGACUUUCAAGACUUUUAAGACUCCCACUGUCCUCUUGACAUACAAGACUCUCUUGUAAUAAUAUUCACGAGAUAGUGAGGAUUCUUUAUCAAGAUAAACACUUCACACAAUUAGCCUUAGUUGGUCUUUGUUUUAUCCAAAACAUCACAACUUACCAAUAUCAAAUGUACAAGAGUAGAACACAUUUUACUCUUACAUUUAAC